CACACACACACACACACACACUUAAAACUACAGCCUUGCUUGUACGCAGUUUCACCAUCCGUAGAUACUCACUGUAAAGUUGUUUCUUGAUGACUUUUUUUUACAGUAUAUCUUUGGGGAUUUUCUUUUGUGUGUGUGGGGGGGGGGGGAGUUCAAAAGACACAAAGCUGCCUACCAGAUGAAACUUUCACUAGGAUCUAGCAAGCCUCACACAAGCUGAUUCAACUCUUAUUGUCAGGCUUAGUAUGUAGGAAGUUGUUAUUUUAGGUUACGAACAUGCUUACCAGUGCCAGCUUACCUGCCAAAGUGUUGUGGUUUGUCUGUAGACACACACCCUUCACAUUUAUUUCAUUACUGAAGGACCAAGGCAUUUCAUUUAGUAGUUGAGGAUUACAAAUAUUGUUAAUACUAAUUUUAUUAAAUGGAUAUAACGGCUUUUUAUUCUUCACAGUUCCCCUCAGAGAGGAAGUGGGGUGUUUUCCUCAGCGGCCUGCAGACCGGGUAGCGCUUUAGGUAAGCAGAGCUGAAAACAGAGACAGGAAAUUAUUUGAAUAAACUCGGGUUCCCCUUUCUGCGCUCCGUCAGCAGGCGUGAAGGAUUAUUAAAGAUUACCCAGUUUUUUUGUUAUCUGCUGUCGGAGCCUUUUACCAACAGUUUAUUUUGUUCUGCCUGUCAUGUAUGAAGGAUCUUUUUUAGUGACACAAAAAGGGAGAUCAGAUUGUAAGUGUGUUGAAGUGGCCGGGGAUGAAGAAGUUAAAACUGUUAACUGCUAGUCCUAAAUAGAGCUCAACGGUGGCUGCUCACUUUUGAAGUACUCCGGUUACGGAAGUGAUUUUCCCCAUUCAGUAUUUCCAUGGAAGUUUCAAAAAAUGCUUAUACAAAGCGUUUUAAGCCUGGAACCAAGCCAGCCAGCUACAAGAUGAAUCAUGACCACAAAACAUUUUAUUUUGCGCAAAAGAACAUUAAAAAAAAAAAGGCAAAUAAAAGCAAACAGGGAAAAAACCUGCAGGAAGUUGGAUGUAAACAUGCACAAUGUUUAAAGUGAAAAUCACACUUGCAGCUUUAGCUGUCCUUUUAUUAAUUAGAAAUAUAAGACUGGCAAUUGUCAAAACACGUUUUAAUAACAUUAAUUCACAACAAAUACCAUUCAAACGUCAAUAUUUUAUGAAUGAAUUAUUCAACCUUCUCUGUGGCCUCGAGAUCAUUCAAUCCUACUGAAGAUGGAUUCUUGGGUCACAAAUAUGCUACUUUAAUUUUGCAAAUGCAAAGUAGUUUCCUAAUACUGCAGGGUUAUUUUAAACAAACAUCACUCAAACAGGCGCAAAUAGUGGGUAUUUACAUUAGAGGAACGGGAACGAUGUAUUUGGGAGGGAUUCAAAAUAAACUACAGGGCACAUGUUCAUUGUAAGGAAAGGAACAUGUCAGUCAGUGUACCAAUGGAACUCAUUGAUAUGUUUCUGGCUCAAUGGUUUUGGUCUUUUUAGGAUGUUUGUUGACAAAAAUACAGUUAAUACAUUUUAAUAUCACCAGACUUAUCAUUGAAUAAAAAAACUGUGUAUACUUACUGAGUGCAGGCUGUCACUUAACUGUCAUGUAGGGCUGGACGAUUAAUUGAAAAUGUAUCAACAAAAAAAUUCUGAGGCUGUUUGAUCAUUUAUUCUUGUUUAUGGCCUACUUUCUCCUUAAAAACAUUCUACCGCGUGUGUAGUCCCGUGACUUUGCCCGGACCAGUUAGCUGCAUGGAAAGCACAAUGGAGGAUAACUCAGAACAGAGUCCGAUGUCCGAUUAAGGUCAAAUCGUGCAGCCCUACUGUCAUGUGUCACCAGUAUAAUGCACUCUUGUUAAGUUUCCAAAUCUGAAGUCAUUCUUGUAAAAGUGACUUAAACUUGAACCAUUGGGAAGAACUACUAACUACUAACCAAUAACAACAGGCCUGGUCCGACUGUUGCAGUAGUUUGUGUAGACGAUUUUAUUAACUUCAUGGCAACUAAGCAAAUUACCAUUAAUAGAGGCUGUUGGCAAUUAAGACUGGAUUUAGACAGUAUCAGCCUCAACAUCUGUCACGUCUCUCAGAUCAGGGUGAAGCUCUGUAAAAUAAAAAAUGAAACCUAAGUGCAAUUUAAGCCGUUUUGAAAAGACAAGCUUAUACACAGAUGUUAAUUAUUUUACUCAUCUAGUGUGAGCACAGUUGGUUAUUUUUUUAUGAUUUUAGGUAAAUCCAUUCUUGCGGUGUAAUGCAACUGUUGAGAGAUGAUAAUGUAUAUUUUAUAUUGACUGAAUUGUUAUGGCUUUCAUUUAUUUUCUAAAAAUGGACCAUUGUUUAAAGGGAUCAUGUCCGAAUAACUUCAAUGCUCUUGUAUUUUAGUAUUUCUUCUCUCCAAGUGUAGAUGUUUUUCACUUCUUACUGUUGGAUUCGAUACCAUUUCAGGGAACCAUAUCAUAAAAAAUUAAAAACUAAUUUGAUAUAUUCAUUAAAAUGUUAUUUAAGUUAGUUUUUCACUUUUUCUUUUGAAUUUCAUAUCAUGUAUUGUCUUUUUUAUAAGACCCAUAUUGUGCUUUUGACUCAUUUCCCUACAAUAUUUCAACGUUUUGUUUUGUCUGUUUUCAUGUCAUGUAGUCAAAAGCAGUUGCACUUAAAAGUCCACAAGGUCAAAACAUACAGUGGUGUGGACACUAAACCAGUAGAUUUUAAUAAACAAAGACAAUCAAACUAAUAGCACAACGGAAUUGUAUGUUGUACUUUAAAGCCAUUUACAGACACAUGUAUUAAUAUCCCAAUAAAGAAAUGUCUUGAUAAAAAAAUCA